rnacentral:ncRNA from 1 species
GUCGGCGUGAUUGCAGUCGCACCUCAGGCGGUCGCGACGACAACCGAACUGCCUGGCCGUACGAACGCCUUUCUUGUUGCGCAGGUUCGGGCACGCGUCGACGGGAUCGUGCAGCACCGAGGAUUUAACGAAGGUGAGGACGUAAAGGAAGGGCAACGUCUUUACAAGAUCGA